AUUAAACGUUUAAAUUAAUAUCUCUAUUUAAUAUAUUUAAUUUAUCUUAAAUGUAAAAAGACAUUUAUAAAAAAGAAAGACGACAAGACCCUAUUGAACUUAACUUUAGUUAAACUGGGGCAGUUAAUUAAUAAUCACUUUAAUAAAAAUAAUUAAAAAGACGAUCCAACACCAUUGACAAAGAUCAAGUUACCAUAGAGAUAACAGCGUAAUAAUUUUCCAAAGUCCUUAUAAAAACAAUAGUUUACGACCUCGAUGUUGAAUUAAUUACCUAAUUAGAGCAAAAGCCAAUUAAGGAAGUCUGUUCGACUUUUAAAAAAUUACAUGAUUUGAGUUCAGACCGGUACAAGCCAGGUCGGUUUCCACCUUCCAAAUAAUUCUUACAGUACGAAAGGGCCUGGAAACUAA
rnacentral:rRNA from 1 species